rnacentral:misc_RNA from 1 species
UGUUUUAUGUUGCAAGGCAAAUUUCAUUAUGUUAUUUUGGUGUUUAAAAAAUAUUGUCAUAUGGUAUUUUAUCUUAAGUUGACAAUUAAGAUGUACUGAUGGCUUUAGUAUUGUUUCGAUUGUUCUUGUGUUAUGUAUAUGUAUCCAACAUUGGAUUCUUUUUUAUUUCUAGCUACAGCUUGCAGUAUUUUAAUUUAAAUUUUAUCUAUUUAGUUUCAUUAUCUGCCCAGAUCAUCAUUGUUGAUAUUUAAAAUUUUAUGCAGAUGAAAGAUUUGGAUUUGGACUGCUCAUUAACCAGCAAGGAGUUAAUACAGGGAGCAACCAAUAAGGUAUUCAUAUUUUGUCAAAUUUAUGGUCACAUGGUCUUCUGUCUUGAGUUGACAUUUAAGAUGUACUGCACCUAACAUUAUAUUA